GUGAAUGAUGAAAAUUUUAACUCAAGGUGUUGAAAAUGUUAACUUAAGAAAAUGUUAAAAUAGCCGAAUAUAUCUUGACAGAUCGUGCUUUGCAUACAGGUAGCAUUACAGAGGUGUCUGCCUAUGAGAGUUGAAGUGAGUUAUCCUCCACGUAAGUCACUCUAGAUUCAUGUUUAGACAUGGGCAAAGAGAAGUAAGAACAAGAGAAUGUCUUCACACUGUUACCUCUCAUUUUCCUUCUGUCAGAUAUACACAUAUAUCUAUAUAUAACAGAUAUAGACAUAUCUGUUACUUGGGAACCUAAGGCAUAUCUUAUAGCUAGAUUAACAUCUAGGAACACGAUGCAUAGAACUUGCCUUUGUUUUUGUUUUGUUUGUUUUAUUUCUAGUGAAGGGAAGUUAUCAGCUGCCGUGCCUGCAGUGUGCUCUCUUCCAUUAAUUUUUCCUGUCUCCUCUUCUGCAGACAUAUCCUUGGAAGGCAUCAAUUUUAUUGGCAGGCACAUAACAUGGAAAUUAUUGCUCUUUCAUUGAAGAAGUAGAAAUGUUUGUUUCACAAGUUCUUUAAAUUCUCUCCUGUAACACUAUAUUGUAGCUGUGAUAUCUACAGUUAAAUAUGUCUCAGCAUUUCAAAUGGGGGAAAGCUAGCAGCUGAAAAAACAAGAGGCUUUGCCUGCACAAGAUCGCACACCCUGUUCUAGAAUCAUGAAAAAUGAACUCCUGGAAUGUUAAUAGGCAUAGCAGCUAAUUUCACAAAGUGUGACUCUACAAUAGAGUUCUAAGUCUGCAUAGUGGAAACCCUGAAAAAGGUUUAGUCUUAACAUAUUACUUGGAAACUCUUCAAAAUUGGAAAACACUGCUGUGUAGUGAGCCUCACUUGUUUACGUUGUCCUUGAGAAACGUGUUGGUUCCAGUGCCACUAAGUUUGCAGUAUGAGGUAGUAUGCAAAAUGAUGUAGUGGAUACAAGUCCAGUUAGGUUUACAUUAGGAUUCACGUUGCAGGAACCGUAUCUGGAGCUCAAAGAAGGAGCCUUCCGGGAUGAUCUAUCUUGUUCAAAACAAAGCCUGGUUGCUGCUGAUUUAGCCUUACCUACCCCAUUCCUUUCUCCCUCUACCCCACUCUCCACCAUAUCAUUCUGUGACACAUGAAAUGGAGCAGAAGGUAAUAGCAGUAUAAAUAUUGAUAGUGUGUUAGGAUUCUUUUUCACAUCUCUACGUUAUUGGUUUGUUUGUUUGUGUCUGCCCCCCGUGAUUUAUCCCAUGUUUGUUCCAUUGCACUAUUUUAAGCUCUUAACUGUCCAUUUUAUGUAAAUGCAACUCUCUGGAACUGCUCAGGCUCAGGCAGUGCAAGAUACUGAGAGCUGAUGUUAGGCAAGUAAUGUAAACAGUUGACCAACUGUGGCUGCAGACAUGACUCCGAUACUAAAGCGUGAGUGGCUUUGAAGCAAUCUGUCACUUAAAGGUGUGUCGUGGCUUAAUUCUAUUUACCACACCUUCCUUCAGCCUGGCCGUCUUCAGAACCGUUUCCGAUAGUUGGCUGUCAUUGAUAUUCCAUUACUGGUGUGCAGUGUGUGUGUGUGUGUGCUAAAAGUGUGUCUGGGAAACAGAUAUAACGUAGGCGUGAUUGCAGUUGAGCCUGGGAUUCCUUCUUUUGUCCUUUGUUAUGCUGUGAUAUGCACUCGGAAUGUUGUACAUAUUGAAAGAAAGCGUGCAAACCUUCAUCCAUUUUAGGUUCACUGAGCUUUCUAAUCCACUGGCAUGGGGAUCUAUUCCACUCUACUAGCUUUGUUAGCUUUUUAAUGAGCAAAUCUGGUCAUUAGCAGAAGAUUUUAAGCCUGUGGACAUAACAAAUUUGAAGAUUUUAAAAAAUUUCUCAUUGGAAAUACUGAGUGCUAGCUCUGUUUCUUUGCACUGGUGGUUCUUGUUAUGUAUGUUUUUUUGUUUUUGUUUUCAUGGAUAUAAAUACCUAUAGAUACCUGUCACAAGACUUACUUUAGAAACUUGCACUUGACAAGCUCUGCCAGAACAAAAUAAUAUAUUUCUACAGUUUGCAUGUGUAAUAGGUUCUUUUUAGGAUCAGUUGAAUAUAUUGGUAGGAUUUAAAGAUGUGCUGAAUCUAAUCUUCCAGGAGUUGAGGAAGUAUUCAUUAGAAUGCAUUGUCUCCUGCUGAGUUUGACCUUCACUACCCUGCUGGAGUGCACUGCAAUUUUUCAGCUGCCUUCAUUUUACUUUUCCUCCUUGGGUGAUAAUAAAAGUAAAGCAGUUUGCAUGUCCAUCCUUAGUCCUCUGCAGUCUUGAUGCUUCCCUGCUAUUCAGGCUCCUGCUGAGGUCAGUGUCCCUGUGACUCUGUCUUCAAAUCUCCAGUCUCUUUGUCUUGGUUUCUGGUUUUGACAAGCAGAUAAUGAAGUGGUUUUGCCUUCUGUAUUGCCCUCACGCUUAGGAGCUUGUGCUGUGUAUUGGUUUGCAAGGCAAUUCUACUCUGAUUUUCAGAACUUACAAGGUUGACAGUUACUGUAUCCCGUGCUUCUGCAGAAGACUCCCUUUUAAUCGUCUUUACUAUGAGAAACUGUAUUUGAUCCCAUGGAGGAGUUCUUAAGAUUAGCACUGGAAAAGCAGCGGUUUUUGAACUACCAGUGAAAUGCAAUUGCUGGCACUGGCCUGAUCAACACCCAGUAACCUAUAUUAGGGUUGGGAAAUGGGGCAGAGGGGGAUCUUACUUCAUAUUUUCCAACUCUUAGUAGAAGGACAUGGUACCUGUAGGGUCUGCUGGCUAUUGCAUUGCAGUACUGGGAAAUGUGACUUAAGACAUGCUUCCCACAGUAACACAAGAGAGGGCAUUGGUUAAUUAAUAUAUCCCACACUGAAAAAGACCACUUUAUUUGCAUGUAACUGCAGUGCUAUGCACUAUGAACCUUAAAGUUUCCGUGGAUUCCGAGAGAAUUACUAUUGGCAGAAGACAAUGUGAACAAGUUUGGAUUUUCAGAACAAUUGCACAGAUACCUCCUCCUCCCCCUUAACUCCUUCAUAUGUUGUGAAGUUUUCCUAGUAUUAGUUCAAACUGACAAAUUAUUGUGCAACACUACUGAUAUGCUUGCGUUUGAUGGUGACUGGAGGAAGUGAUUGUUGGUACCGUUUAUCUUGUGUACAGUUAAGUCUUCAAAAGCUUCACAUUACAGUUAUGCCUCCCAGUAACUGGUUUCUUUCAGCUCCUCACCAAAUAUUUUGGAAGACUGCUGUGUUCACCCUGACGUUUGCAGUAUGGGAUCUCUCACCUGAGUUCACAGGUCACGCUUCAAAAUUUGAUACUGCUUUAUUGCAGUGAUUAUUAUACGUUUUGUGAAGUGAACUGAGCAUUCCUGAGCUUUGCUGAGUCUUUCCAGGUCUGAGAUUGGGCCUAGGCUCAACACGUCUUUCUGUCAGAUAAAGGCAACCGUUGGUCUGCUGGGUGACUGCUGGGUCACUGCUGUUCUGCUCAUGAACCUGUGAAAGUGUUGACCAUCACUGAUUGAUAGAUGAGGCUCUGAAACAGCUAUAAUUAAGAUACUGUUCACACUGCCAUAAUUUCAAGAGAAGGCAUUUUUAUUAACCAAGAUUAUUUAUUAACUACAGCAAUCACAGCUAUGUUUCGAUUAGUCAAAGGAGGACUUGACAGAACAUGGAUGUUAAUAUUAAACAUCCAAUGUGCUAAUUUGUAAACCUGUCAUAUUUGCCAUGGUGGCAGUAAAUGGUGUUAAAUUGCUUUUUCAAUAGACUAAUUAGUGAUGACCUUUUGGGUUGACAUAUCUGUUACACUUUUUACAAUAUUUCUAGAUUUAUAUUUUUUUCAGUAAAUCAAAUGUUAGCAUUUAAAUUAGGCUCAUCAGAAAGAAUUGAGAUUUUAUUAAACACAAAUUAGGAAAAUUAUUUAAUUGCUCUGAGUUAUUAAAUUUGGUGCCUUAAUGCAGCUCGGUUCAGUUCUCAAACCAAAUCCGUUCCUUUAACUAUUAAAGGAGAAUCAGUUGAGAGGCUCUGGCAGCUUUGAAUUGCUUCUAAAUUUUCUGUCAUGAUAUUAAAAUAAAAUUCUUUCCAAUGCUGCUAUUGCUUCAUCCUCCUCCAACAAAGAAGAUAUGUUUGGCAGCGAGUUCAGAAUUAGCUGUGUGAAUCAACAGAUUAAAACUUAGCUAAUGAUCAUGUAAGCAAAGAAUUUAGCUGAAGACUGGGCCCUUUUUUUGGUUACUUCAAUGACAUACCUUCCAUGCCAAUGUAUGGUUCCUGAGAUAAGACUUUGACGAAGAAAACUUAACUUAGAGUUUCUCGUCCAAGGAGCUACUAUAAUACUUGUGAUUAAAAAGCAGGGUUAAUUUCAGCUGGCAUUGACUAAUAUAUUUUACUGAAAAAUUGUUAUCAUGCAGACUCAGGCAAUAAGGUUGAGAAACAUGAGAAAAGAUGCUAAAGUAUGUCAGUGCAUCAAAGUGAGGCCACUUCUGUAACACAGUUGGGUUUGCUAGCAGUAUAUUAAAUCUAUUAGCACAAUUAACAGUGGUAACGGGUGCGUUGACUGUGAAGGCUUAGUACAGGUUUGUACUUUAUGUAUACAGGACCCACACUGCUAGCUGUGGAGUGUGUACUGCUGUCUGACAGGUAGCUUUUACCUAUGUUGGUACCGCAUCAGUAUGCCUACUGCGCUGUGCCCAUUACUGUGUUCUGUUGGGUGGGUGGAAGGGAAACUUGCAGUUUAAAACAAGAUAUUGUUUCAUGUCAUCUCUAGUAAAAAGUUCUCCAGUUGUGAGCUCUCAGUCAUGAAUUAAGCUGUGACCAAGAGGUGAUGGUACAACGCUCUCCUUUAUGCAGCAGACCCUGUUUCCGUGUUUCCCAGUCCUAACAUGGAUGAAGCAGUCCCAGUUCUCUGGCUGUCCCGUGAGCAUGGGGAAGUUACAAUUUAUGCUGAAGGCAGUGAGUAGUGCAUCAGCAGCCUCAAGUGAACAUGCACAAUAUCAGUUCCAUGUAUUGGUGCAGUGCUUCAGGAAAACAGACAUGGGGAGUAGAGGGGAUAAACCACAUACUUCAUUUCUCUGCCAACGUAAGAUGGUUCUCUCACAUUGUAUUGACUCUGGAUUCUGUUGUGAGGAACAGAGGCUGCGAUACUUUCCCUGAGAACACAGCAGGUGUGUCAAGAAGCUUUGGUUGCUAUCCGUUUUCAUUUCUCCCUUCUAGUUAUAUCUUUGGGCCAGCCUAGUUUUUCUUACUGUUGCUUAUAGGCUUCGUGAGUGUUUUCCCACCUUGCCUUUAGUCAAAGUUGUACAUAUUCAUCUUCCUUUCUAAAGGAAUUUCUCCAAUCUCCUUGCAAAUUGAAAGAAAUUAAGAGAAGGUUUUGUCUACAUUUAUUUAGGUAUGAUUGGAAGAUGAGAGAAAGGGAGAGGAGUCUCACAUUCACUUUCAGUGACUCAUGUUUGACAAGGAAAUUUCAUCAGGUUUAACUUGAACUCUACUUCUUCUGCUCGAAAGGCUAGCCUUAAGCUCAGUGUAAAAGGUGACUCUUAAUUUCCAAAAGGCUCUACAGAGACCUGGUAACACACAGAGAUGGGAUACAGAACAAAAGCAACCGUUGUUUUAGCUGUGCAUUUAGUGCAAAUAGUGCGUAAAAUUUUAACUCCUGACUUGUUCUCUCCAAGGAGCCAUAAUGGUGUGAAGAGCAUGGAGACAUGUUUUUGCAGAUUGCUUUUUCAUUCAUAAAGUGUUAUUUCACUUCCUUGUACUGAUUGUCUAGUUUCUCUGGGAUGCUUAUCCAUGAGUGUGCAUGCUCAGGCCUGAGUAUAUACGUGUGCACAUAGGCAUAACCCAUACCAAACCGUAUAUUUCCUGUUCAAAGCUAGUUCAACAUGGGAAGAAUUUUCUCUUCCACUCUACUGUUAUGAACAUGUGUGUAUAUAUAUGCAUACACAGACUCAUAGGAGAAAGUAUUGUGUUAUCCCAAUGGUAACAAGGAACUGAAGUAAAUGGUAAGAUGCUUGUCUGUGACAGAUGCACGUCUUCCUUGUCUUUGUACAGCUCCAUGCCUGUAGUACAUUAUAGCUCAGCAUGGCCAGCAACUCAAAUUUUAUCUUUGUAGAAGGUAUGCUGCCCUGUUUCUAUCAUUUCCUUUGCUAAAACCACAAUUCACAUGAACAAAAUGUUUGUGAUAUAUUCAUGGCUUUUUUCAACUUGCCUUUUCUCAGUGAUAUAGAAUACUAGAUAAAUGGUUCUGUUUGAUUCAAAAUGCAAGAAAUAAGUCUUCCCUUAAGCAGCUGAACUAAGGAGCUACUGGGAUGAAUUUAAUCCUUUGCAAGAAAUGCGUGGUAUUACCAGUGGAAGAUUCCUGUUCAUUUCCUACAUCUCUUGCUUGAUUGAAUAUCCAGUAAAUGAUGGAUUUUAGGCUUCUCAGCUUGAAGUAGGUUCAUGAGCAAGAAUCUGAGCAAGACCUCUGCUGUUGUUUAUUGUUGCUUUGAUGCUCUUUUAAGGUAUGUGUUUCACAAAGUUGCCUUGAUGAUGUACAUUUAUAUUCCUGACACCUCCUCAAAUGAAAGCAUGCACAAAGUAGAACUGCAAUAUGAUUACAGGAUAAUGUGCCUUCUUUGGGAAUCAGAAUGAAGUGAUACAAAACUGGCUCUUGGUCAAACCUGAUUUUUCACUGUGUAGGCUCCUUGUGAUCCAGUGGGCUCAUCAGUCACUGGGGUCUGCCCUCCCGAUAUCCCCCACCUUGCUGGGGGAUCCCAAGCUGGAUGUGGCUCUGGGCAGCCUGGUCUGCUGGUUGGUGACCCUGCACAUAGCAGGUUGGGUUGAAACUCGAUGAUCAUUGUGGUCCUUUUCAACCCAGGCCGUUCUGUGAUUCUAUGAUUCUGUUGGUUCUGAGUUCCCUGCAGCAGGCAAGGCAGAUCUGCACUCUACAGCUGAAUCCUUGGUGGGAGAUAUUUAGCUGGUGAUUUUUCUGAGGACCUUCAUUGUCAGUUUGGGCUUAUCUACUUGCAAACACAUGUGCAGCAUCUGGUAAGAACCCUUAAAACAGAAAUGUGUGCAUCUGAAUAUGCAGAGGUAGUACUUGAAGCUUUAAUGGUAUGCUUGGCGUGUCCAUCUGUAUAUAUACACUGCAUGACUUUUUCUUUGCAAUAGAGAGGUUAGUUGCAAAAAUGGCUAUACUCAUCAAGCUGUUCAGUUGUGACAUUUGUAUGCAUGUGAAACAAUUAAUCACAGAGUGGCAUGUGGACCAUUGUAUUUAAGGGAGUUAAAGUUUGUUACCUGUGGUACUGUGCUACCAGAGUUGUUGAUUUGCUGCCAAUACACUGCUCUGUGAUACCUGUUCACAUUUCUGAGUUUAAGGAAACAGAGUGACAGUUCUGCUGCUGGAUCAAGGCUGUGCCUGAGCAACCGGAGUCUGAUGGCUCUCAAAAUAGACUGACACUGAUCAGAAAGCCAUUGUUCACCUUUCCAAUACCUGUUUUUUUUUGUUUUUUUUUUUUUUGUUUGUUUGUUUUUUGUUUUUAUAUAAGGAUAGUUUUUGCAGUGCAAGUUGUUGAUAACUCAUUUGAACUUACUAUUCUGAAGUGUCCAGAAAGGAGAGACAACCAAAGCAGUUAAGCCUAAAAUUAGACAGCAAUCGUAAGCUCAAGUGUUUUGGAUCAGCCUAGGGAGAAGAUGGCUUGCUUGUCAUAUCAGUGGGCUUUGUCUCAGUUGACUAAAUCUUCAUUUAAAAGGAAUGAUUGGCAUACAUUAUUGUCUUCAGUUGCCAUGAGCUGACAGCUAGACAAUUAAAUGCAUUAGGAAUCUUUCCAAAUUUAGCUUGAAUAUAUGAAUUCAUUGUAAUUGAAGCUUAUUCACAUUAAAAUCCUCAAUGUUUUGUAAAUAAAAUUGGAUUUCAACCAGUCACGUUUCACUAACUGUUGUUUGAUUAUGUAACUUCUGUAAUAUGGUUUCCUUCUUGUUUGGAUUACUUGCAUUGUAUUAAGGCAUUAAUUUUACAGUGCUACAUACUCCAAUGGCUCCAGACAAGUUCUGUUCUCAGUAGUACUGUUCUACCAGUACUUGGUUACAGCAAAGAUUCCAUUCCCUUCCUCUCAAGCCUUGGUACACUCAUGAAGAGUAGAGUGAACUCUUUAAUGCUAAGAGUUUCCAAGUUGAUGAGCAUAAAAAGCCAAAAGGUUAAGUGGCUGUCCUAUAGGCAGGUAGCAGUGGGUAGCAAUUGCCAGUCCUGGGGCCUCUCUUUGCCAUCCCAUCAUUAUUUAGUGGCUGUGCUUUUAACGCUUGUAGAUUUGUAACGUAUGGAGAAGUAAAUGCUGUCAUAUCACAGUUCAGCUCUGAUUCUUAAUACAUUAUUUUUCUGCCUACAUAGGGCAAAUUCUUCAGGGACAGAAUGACCUGGAAAAAAAACCACACAACAACCAACACAGAAACAAAUGAAAAAACAACCCUAUCAGAAGACACUUCUAGUCUGUGAAGUGAGCUGGCAGUCCAGUUAGAUUUUCCAGCAGAGGACUGUAUUUCAAUUUCUUACUGUCAAAUUCAGCUAGAGACAAGAAAGGUAUAGAAGCAUCAGGUCUCAGCUGGAGGAGAUGGAUAUCAGCAAGACUACAGAGCACUGCCAUUGGCGAAGGUAUAGGUUUUUUCCCCCAUGGGGUGAACUUUUCAACUUGGUGCUUAUGAAGAACUCUAAAAUUUCACCUUAAUUCCCUUAAGCACGUCUGUUUAUGGCAACAAACUUGCACCUAUUACAUGUUGUAUGUAUUAUACUUGUAUAUGCUUGAAGUUGAUGGAGGAGGAAGUUUUAAAUGCAGACAAUUACGAGCAAUAGUUAUGAGAAAGGUCUGGAUUUAUUUGCUUUUUGUUUAAAGGCAGAAAACUCUACAGUGUUCUCAGCAAAACGCUCACUGAGGUCUCAGUUUUCCGGACAGAAGGAACUUAAACAUACUUUAACUCUUUUCUCUAACAGUUAAAACGGUGUUGCUCACAUCUUGCUCCCCCUGUUAGCGUAUUUAUCUGCAGUGUUGGGAAUUAGCUUUGUUAACAAAUAGACACAGGCUUCAAAAAGUCAGAUAUUCAUGCUUCUGUCUUGACAUUACUUUUCUCAGUGUGUAUGGUGGAAAUUCACUCAUUUAUAUGUGCAACUAAGUGCUGUCUACUGAAGUGCUUACAAAACUGCAGUUCAAUUUGAAGUGCUGGAAGUGAACGUUGCUGUUGUAUACGUCUGUCAGGCUUCCCCUCUGUCUCAACACUUCUUUGGAAAACUAGAGCUAAUGAGCUGCAAAUGCAGAAAUAAGAGUGUGCUUGUAAACUGUAUAAAUUCGAUUAUUCAUUAUGCUCAUAUGAGUUUGUUUAUAAGGAUGGGUGGCAGUAGUUUGUCAUGUUCCUAAGUAGGAAUGUGGAAUACUUUUAAUCCAUAUACAAGCCCAUAUAUUGCUUUAAGGAAAUAGGGGUGUUUUGGUUCUUUUCACUCUUGUCCCUGAGGAAAUAGUUGAGGUGAGCCUGCAAUAUAGAAAGUGGGAAAUACACAAAUGCUUCUUGACAUUAUAAAGAUGGAAAACACAUCAGCACCUUUUGUUUUUCAGGGAAUAUUUUGAUCUGUGGGCUAGAACAGAGGAAUCCUUAGUAAGCCGUGCGUAUGCUUGUUAAUGAUAAGCAGUGCCAGAGAAGGUGCUACUCUGAAAUAUGACACCAUUUCUUUAAUUUAAGACAGCAAUAAAAGGCACAUGGAGGAAGGCUAGAGUGUUUAAUUUGCUUGCAAGAUAUUUUUCUGAAUUAUGCUAGUUGUCUUUUUAUUGCUUCUGCAGGAUACUGCAAAAGCUCAUUUUCUGAGGUUUAGUUUAGGUCCCCAGCAGAAUUCAUUACUGAAUUUGUAAUUCAUUACUGAAUUUGUAGGAGAACUACAGUAGACACCCACAGUCAUGACCUGUGGUGCUGCCUUUCAGCCUUUGUACUCCAGCUAUGCUCUCUGCAGUGUGAGCAAACAUAAGCUUUUCACAUGGACUUCUGUGUACCUUGGUGCUGCAGUGGUGGUCUGAGGUGCACCUCUUCCUGAGGUGCUUACAGGAGCUGCUCCCACUGCCCACUUCUUCUGGCUGCCUUCAUGAAAGCAGCAUUGCUGCUGCUGGCACUGCUGCUCCUUGUUAAACUGGCAUGGGCGUAGGAUGGGGCAGAGGUGCUUUUAGGGUGUGGUGCACGAGAUGGGCUUCCUCAGGUUGGGAGCACCUCCCUUUUCCCUCUGUAAGGGGCUAGGCAGCCUACUUGAGCUGAAACUUAAUGUGUUUGAACAGCACAGAUUGUCAGGGGCUGAAUGGGUGCCCUCCUCAGCCGGUGACGUGGUGGGAAAGCCUGGGCUAACCUCAGGAUGUCACCUGGGCAGGGUGGGGCACCUCCUUCGUGGUUCUGGGAUGCAGCUGGAGGAGGAACAUGGCACAAACACCACCCAUGGCCUGCCCCAAAAGCAUGAUCUCCACAGACCCCCCGUCCCCCCCCUCUGGACAUCCCACCUGCCUCAGCUGGCUCAUUUUGUAGCUAAGUUUGCUCAGGCACUUCAUGUUUAUAUUUCUGGAGCACUGCAGAAAUGAUAGUGAAGUUAUUUUUGGUAGUUGAUCAAAUUACUGUCCCAUGCAGCCAUUAACGCAGUUGAUGUUUAAAGGAGUAUUAUUUGUGGUGGUUAGCCUUGGGGAUGCCUGACUGAAUGCCAUUGCAUUUGUAUUUCCUGAACGUUGGGUAUAAAUUGAGUGAUGGCAGAGAAUGUGCCAGGGAAUUCAAAGCUGGAAUCUGUGCUUCCUGUAUUGCAGAAGUUGGAGCGUUUCAGUAAACCUUAGUGAUGUUUUUCCCCACUGGGAGGUGGGAGGAAGGUGAUCUUCGUGCUUUUGAGCUGUUGAAACAUGGGUAAUUAUGGAUGAAGUGGAGAUGGGAAUGUUUCAGAUAAGGUUUGAAAAGACAUAAAAAGGGAACGCUCAGCAAAGGAGCAGCUCCACUUUUUGGAGAUCCUGCUUCUGGGGUAGGUUGUGUUAGUUUUUGGUGGUCUUUUGUUUUUCUUCCCUGUAAGACAUAGCUGUUCCUGCUGGAAAACCUGUUUCAUUUUGUUUUAAAUGAAAAUGAAAGUUGGAAGUUGAUGAAGGAAGAGAACAACAAGAACUGAAAACAAAUUGGUAAAUUCAUUUUGCUGUUGUGACAUCUGUUUAUGGUGUGAAUUGGACCUGCAGAGCCCAAUUAGCACAUUCCCAGCAGAGAGAGCUGUUUGAACAAUAGGAGGAAUGUCGUGUUAAAGUUAGCUAACUGUGUGUACACUGUGUCAAAGAAACAGGAGCAGGGGGCAAUCAUCAGCUUGUUCUUAAUGAAUCUGGUAGCACUCAGCCUUAUGCGGGGAGAUGAAAAGCAGAAGCUAAGGGCUGUCCUGGUUUUAAGGCUUCACAAGAAUUGACAAAUUGAACUUUGAUUCAACAGGAAGAAAAACGUGAUUUACAAAUCACCUUUGUUCUGAUCCUGUGUAUGGCAUAUGCAGAUUAAGAACAACUGACUACAAACAGAAUAAGAAAUAUAUUAAAGCUCAAAUAGGGUCUUUAAUUACUGAAGGAGUGAGGGUAUUGAUAUGCUUUCCAUAAGGACAGAACAAUUAUAAGUGAAGAGUUGAUGGGGAAAAUAAAAGGUGUCCGUUGUGGUGUUCACAACAGAAAUUGGAAUGGAUGUCCUGGAGAAUCCUCCUCCAGCACUUUCUCCCUUUUGGAUGUAAUAAGCUUGAGGACAAACAGAAGUUGAAGAGGUUUACCUGAAAAUCAACACACGUGUACAUUGCCAGGACCACCAGGCUGCAGUUGCUCUGCUUUACUAGAGAUCCAUUUUAAUGUAGUAAUGAAGUCUCUUGCUGCUUGGCACAUGGUAUGCAGAGAACACCAAGCUCUGUACAUUAAGUCAUGAUUGGUCUGAGCUGUGUGUUAAUUUCUUCAUACUAUUGUCAUUCCUCCUGCCUGUGCCCUGAACACAAUUAAGUGUGCUCAGAUCCUACUUUUAGGCCUUGCUGUUGGGCAGUUACUCAGUGAAUGGCUGGAACUCCCUGGGCUCUUGUUUUCCUUGUUCUGUGAUAGUGGGUUUUUGUUGUUUGUUUACAUGCUUAUUUAAAAUGCAGUUCUGCAGGCUAUUUAAAGCAUCUCUGUCUUAAUUAAGAAAGUAUAUGUCUGUUUCUUUAGGCAGUAAGAAUUGAUUGAAGUACACUGUUGGCUCUCUAGUACCAGGUACUAACCCAUACAAUUCCUGAAGGUUAUGGCAUAGUACACAGUAGUACUGUAGGUAAAUGAUAACCACACAAGCUGUACGCUGGCUUUUUUAGAAGGCAAGGCUAAAUUGUUUGUGUGACAAAUGCUGACACCAGCAGUGACAAAUUUUACUUGUGAAACGUUAGGGCGAUUGAUAACUAAUGAGGGAAGACUUGUGACAUUUGUUGCCCAGUCUGUCUGGUAACUUAAUCUGGACUGUAUCUUAUUAUGAUGAGAGACUGGGAAUUGAGUGAAAUGUUCUUUUGUAAUGAGGAUGUGAUUUGGGUGCAUUUGUUCUGACAGGGCUGGAGCGAUGUAAAUCACAGCAGAUGCAGUGCUGGUAGGCAAAGCAAUCUAAGCAUGGUAUUGUAAAAGCUGGGACUGUGACACACACCUCGGUCAAUUCAACAUCAAUUCAACAUCUCACAGACAGGCUGUGCUGCAGAACCAAGUGCAUCACAAAAUCCAGCUAAUAUUGCAUAAAGAACCUCCAUUACAUGUUCUGUUUUCUAAGUUUAACCUUAUCUGGAGGAACUUUGAAGCUCUAUUCCAUGGGUGUCCAAUCUGUGAUCUUGCUUGGUCCACACUGAGUGAACAGGAGCUGUCUUAGGCUGCAUACAAAAUGUGUAAUAUGGUUAACGUAAGGUUGUUACAAAACUUAUUUUUAAGGUAUCUUUUAUUAGAAUAUGAAAAACAAAGAGCAACAAAAACAUAAAACUAGUGGGAUAUUUGACCCUGUUUUUGCAAAACUAGUGUGUCAACAUCUGGUUCAAUGGAAAAGGUUGCAAUUCUUAGUGAGUUCUCAAGGUGCUUGCCAGAGAUUUUUGAUGAAAUAUUGCUCUUCCUGUGCUUCAUCCUUGACAAUAAUUGUUCACAAGUGUACAUACUGCUGAAAAGUGGCAACAUGAAUAAAGUGUGAUUGUGAAGCAAGGGUUUUUUUUUUUCAGUUAAGGCAGGUCUUAGGAAAGUCUAGUAGAGGUGAAUGUCAUCAAGAUAUCCAGUGUAAAUAAAUGGGUUAAAAACUGGACAGUUCUAGGCAUUAGUGACUUGAUUUCCCUACUGGUAGUGUAACUUGGACUUGCAGCACUGACUGUGUUCGUAAAUGACCUGGAAAAAGUGCUGAGUUUUGGGGGACACAGUUUGAGUUUUUCCAGACGCUGAUACUCUGUAAAGUGUUGCAGAAAAUGCCAUGAAUGAAAAGCGUGAUGCCAGAUGAAACGUCGUGUUGAUAGACGCAAAUAAAUGCACAUCAAAGGGAAAAGUCGGCAUAGAAUUCAUAGAAUCACCAGGGUUGGAAAACACUUCCAGUCCAACCAUCCACCCACCACCAAAUUCCCCACUAAACCACAUCCCUUGAUACAACAUCUAAGCAUUUCUUGAACAACUCCAGGGACCACUGUCCACCACCACCACCUGGGCAGCCCAUUCCAGUGCCUGACCACUCUCUCCGAGAAGAAGAUCCAACCUGAAAUUAGCUAAUUUUGCAUAGGAAAGAGGUUUUAAGGUCAUUUUGGGUAAUUAUGAAAAUAAAAAUGGAAUGGCUAGGCAGCAUGCAAAAGAGUAAUAAAACGUUAGGAACUACUGAGAAACCAGUGUACCUCUCCUUGAGAGUAUUAUUUGAAGAGAGCAGAAGAGCCCACAAUUAAUCUCAAGGGUAUAUUAGGGCUGGGGAGGGUGCUAGGAAGUGAGAAAUAGGUUAUGUAGAGUAGGAGGGAAACAGCAAAGCCUUUUUGUUUCAUGAGAAGUACAAAUGAGGAGGGUGUGGCAGAUGCAGAAUUUGGGGCGGUUGAGAGAAAAUGAAUAAUGGCAUUAAUACUGCAUCAGAACAAGGAGAUCCCACUGAUGCUCAGCCUGCCACGUGCUGAAAGAUGGUAAGAGGAGGACUCCACUGUGCGACUUCUGUACCCUGCUCUGUUAUGUCACCCCUUGUUGCUCUGGAUUGGCCUGGGGCUGCCCGCCAGCCUUGUGAAUUGCUGAUGUGCUCCUCUGCUGCACGGCCUUCAGGUGAGUUCUGAAGUAUGAACACAUUCCUGUAGCGCUGUAGGAUGGCAGUGGGUUCUCUGUGCCUUUAGGUAGUGCUGUAGUAAUCAUUAAUGAUGAUUAGCUGUUGAAUGACAUAGAUUAUAAGAACUGUGGGCAUUUUUUUUUAAUUUUUUUUUUAAUUUUUGUCCAGACUUUUCCCUAUAGAUCUUUGCUUGAUUCUGUGGGUGGUUUAUCAUUACAUGUAAGCAUUAAAAAUGCAUUGAGCCACCUUUUUAUUUAAUUUUAAUUUGCAUUAAAUGAAGAAGAUGACAAUCUCAAAUAUUAUAUCCUUACGUAUAUGCCCUAAGCUAACUUCAUACUAAAUAAUGAAUUAUUCAGUGGAUUCUGCAGAGCAGUAACACCUGUGCCCAAAAUCAGGGAAUCAUAUGGCAUCACAAUUACCUGCAGCAGCAAAACUGCUGUCUUUUAACUUCUGCUCUUCAGAUUCAUUUUUAUGCCCCAAUCAGUUUAAUUAAAGAAUUUUUCUGAUAGCAUCACCAGAUGGAGAAGACAAUGAGCUGUGUCAAUAACGCUGACAAAGGAUUACAUAAGGAGGAGCUGUUGCAAUUAAUAUAUUAAUAGAACUGUCAGCUUAUUUCUUUGUUUUGUUUUGUUUAGAGUUGUCUUGCUGAUUGUGAGGAAAAGGAGGGAAAACACCUCUUAAUAUACCCGAUGGCCUAAUGCAUGGAGCAGGGACUAAACCUGUGAAGUAGUCAAUAUAUUUGACUGGCACCUUUUGGUUAUGGCUCAUCUCCAAGAAAUUUUAGACUACCUUCAGCUUCUAUUUGUGGCUUUACUUGGAGCGGUGGCUUUUCUAUUGCCCGGUGCUUUGUUCACCCCAUCCAUGGCUCAUUUAAAUAAUACUGCCCUAUUAGGACAGUAGUGUCCGGAUCCUCUUGGCUGGUGAUGUUUCUCAUGCUUUAGAAAGCACAGGGUUAAAAUUAAACCCACUGAAUUUCAUAGCAUGAUUUCUAUCCAAGCUACAGGAUUAAUCGUUGGAUUUCUGCUUCAGUUUGAAUUUACAAUUUUCUUUCUUACAAUACUGUAAUACUUGCUUACAGUUAAGCAUUUCUGUAAACACAUCUUGCAAAUGCAUUAAUCAUUUGCAAAGUACAAAAGGGCGAUGCAACUGAGCUGAGCUCUAACUUCUCUAUAGAUCCAACCUCCUCAGGGCUUUUGUAACUGUUGCCAUUGAAAAAAGGUAAAGAUGGCUGGAGAUGUGCCAUCUGGGAGCUCCUUGCUUCUCCUGCUUUGUCUGAGAUGGGUGAGGUAAAAAGAGGAAAAAUUGGGUUUGUCUUAAAGUGAAACGUGUUAACUGCUUGCAUUUUUAAAUACACACUUGAUAGUAUUACUGCAUGGCAGGUUUAGGUUUGCCACACUUUUACCUCCUGCUUCCCUCUGGGGUGCACAUUUAGCGUUGGGAAGAACCAACCAUAGCAAACUAUAGCUGAGCAGAAGUAGUACAUUAAGGAUGAUAUUUCUCCUCUGCUGUCCUUCCUACAGAACCACCCCUGAUUUUGGAAAAUGAACUUUCUCAAAUAACGAAAACAGCCGUUGAAAGGGAGACCAGGACACGUGAAAUAUGGCUGAAUGAGAAACUCAUCAUCGCAUGCUCUGAGCCAUCAGGAAGUGAACCUCAAAUUGGGAUCUGAGUGUCUUGGUUGGUACAAGGACCUGUGAAAAACUGUAUCUUGAAGAUGCAGAAAGGUCAGACUAUGGGUUUCCACUGCAGGACUAGCAACUAACUGGCAUUUGUGUGCUGGUGGUCCCUGCCCUGUGGACAUACAGUUAAAAAGCUCCAGAGGAGUUGUUGUUCCUUGUGCAAAGAGAAGACCUUUCCUUUGGCUCAGAGAUGGCAUCACUGCAUCAGUUGAGUGGUUACCUGGAUUGGAAGAUGGUAAAAAGCAAUUGCUGCUGGGCUUUUUUUGUACAGCAGAAAGAGGUCGCAAUCUUCCCUGUGGACUGUGGUGGUUAUUCCCCCAAACUUAUGCCUUUUGCCAGCUUGGUGAUAGAACUUCGGGGUUUCAGUGGAGCAGGUGUCAAAGCACACAGCCAAGGAAUGGAGCUGAAGGCAUAAUUCUUAGUCUGAGACCUUAAGUAUGGGCACAGUUGUAAUCUGAGAAAAUCAUGAAUGUCACCAAUGCAUUCUGGUAAAGUGAUAGCUAUAAAAUGAAAGAUUUAAAGGAAGCAAUCAUAAUGGUUAACAGCAGUAUGAAAAAGCUUAAACAUGUUCAUAAAUUUCAAUAACUGCUGAGCAAUAUACUGGAUUCAUCUAGGAGAGAUUUAAUUUGAAAAAUGCUAAAUAGGAGGAACAGACUGGAAACAGACAUUCCUCCUGAAGAUGAAGCCUUUUGGUGAGAAAUUUACAUUGCACUUCAGCUGAAGCGAUACUAAAUGUGAGUACAAUGUGUUAGAAAAGGAAUUAUAAAAUAAAUUGUGGAAGGAGGUUUUUAAAUUUGCACGUUAAGGAAAAAAAGCUUUAUUUUGUAUUCUCACUUCAGAUGAUGAUCGUGUCUUGAUGUAUAAGUGCCCAUGCAUGCUGAAAUAAAUGAAAAUAACAAAAAAAAAUGGUAUUAACUACAUAGAUUUUUAAUAGAAAAAGAAAAUGACUGAAGUCUUAUCACAGGGAAGUAUAAACAUAUAUGCUUGUGAGCAAGUAUCCAGAACAUACGCAUCGAUUUCAACAAUGCAUAAUAUAUAGAAUACAAAUGCUUUAGAUGAAUUUCAAAUUUGCUGUGUUUAAAAUUAAUUGUAUUCUGAGACGGAGCCUUUCAUUGCAGAUAGUUUUAGCAAGAUGCAUCAGUGCACUAAGAUUUUUUGAAAUGGUGAAUACCUUCUUUGUGUUGCUAAUUGCAGCUGUGCAGUCUGCAAAUGAAGGAUAUCCAGCAUCUUAUUUCCCAUUUCAAUCAUUUUAUUCCUGUUGAUAAACAACCCUUAUCUUCUUCCCACACACCAGAUAGAUUUUACAUUAUUUUAUAAAUGAGAUUUUUCCAUUGUGCUGCAACAUAUUCUUAGCAAGCUAGAGCUUUAUUAAAAAGAAAUGGAAACAUAGAAUUUGGAAACUUUAUUCUAAUUCAAGUGACUUAUUUUUCAAUGUUCUGAUUCUGCUUGCAAUAAUGAUUAAAUUAAUGGAGGUUGUGUGGUUUGAAGUGGCAAUACUAUUCAUUACCGUGCUCUGCUCUGAUUUAAACCCCGCUGCACUCUUACCUCAGCCAGAACCCCAGCCCACCUCAAAUGAGCACUGGAACAACCUCUGCUCUGAAUGCUCUGCUGUUGUUCUGAGCUGGGAGGCUUGAACUGAAGAAAAGCUGAGCACCAAGCGCUCAAGUUCAAAUUACUGCUUGGCAGGUAUGUGGAAAAGCCCCAGACUUGCUUUCCUGAUUUCACAGGUUAACACAGUGUGAUGGUGAGUACCUCUGGGCAAUCAGGUUGGUGUGGGUCGUUGUCCGUGAUGAAGCAGAUUUGUUCUUUAUGUAUCCAUCCCCCCUGUAAGAAGCAGUACAGCUCUACAGGUUGGUGUAAGAUCUGGGGUCACAAGUGUUAGCAUUGAAACACAAAAGGACCUUUCCUAAAGCAAAAAGCCCAUGUCUUCAUCACGUGCUCCCCUGUAGGAGGUAAGGGUGUGUGUCUAUUUUCUGAAUUUGUGCUGAAUUUCACUAGCCAUUCCCACUGACUGUCCAUCUCUCACUGAUGCUAAGGCAGUAUUUAUUUAAAAAGAAGAUAAAAGUAUGAACAAAAGUGUACACUUGCAGCAGAGAAACUGAGAGAAUAAAGUAAAGGGAAUUUUCUUUUCUGUGGUCCCCUAAGUGGUGAAUAUCAUGAGUUUUCCUCAACUGAAACAGGUUUUUAGUUCUCCAUAUAAGAUUGUUGAUGGAAGGUGAUAACAAAAACCUGUGUUGAGAUAGUUUGUAAAGAAGAAAUACAGCUGCUGGUGGAAGAGUAAUUAACCUAAUAAGGAACCUGAAACUAAUGUUUAAUUCUCAAGAUACAUUACAUUUUUGCAUUUCCAUUUGCUUUACAAACCACUCAAAAUACAAGGCAACUUCUUGAAAGUGAGCGUAAUGAUUUCCAAUAACAGAAUGAAGUAUUUUAGCUGACAAGUUCAGUGGCAUGGCUCUGUGAAU